AAUGGGAAAUGCUACCCAGGAGGAAGUUUUUGUCUUAGGCAAAUGAAAAACACAGAUUGGAGCAAAGUGAGAUUUCCUGAGUAGGGGAUGACCUAGCAAAGUCUAGGGGUAACCAGCAAAUAAAGAUGGGAGAUGGUAGGGUGAUUGACAUGGCCAAGAAAGAAGAUUUCUGCAUAGACCAGAGAGGUGGAAAUGAAGCUCCUGUGUUGCCAGAUUUCAAUUUUCAAGAAAAACUUAACAAUCUAUAUUUUUUCUUUGAAGUCUCUCAAUUGUUAAAUGUUGGCCACGCAUUCACAUAUCAGGCCCUUUCCUACAGAUGCAUCAUAAAGCAAAGAAGAACAGAAAGGUCAUUACUGUUUUUCAGGAAUUAAUUGAUAGGGAUUACCUGAAGAAUCCAGAGAAAGAGCAGGUGCUUCGACCUGGCUAUCACGGAGGCGGUAAUAAACGUAAUGAUGGCUUGCUGCCUGAGGAUUCGUGGCACCAGGUCCUGGAUAAAAAUGAAAUGUGCAUUUCAUGAGAAGAUCCCAGCGAGCAGUAAUAAGAAAAAGUAUUCAAUCAUAGUCAAUUGGUUAAAGCUUUGGGGAUGGGCUCAAGUCACCAUUUUAUUCUUCUUUUUUUUCUUUUAAUAAGGACACAAAUAAAAAAAUUAAACUGA